CUUCCUUUCAAAACUCAUUAGUGGCAUUUAUCCUCAUUUGAAUGAGAAGAAGCCACAAAGAUUUCAACUGGAGGUUCACUCAGCAGGCCCCAGCAAUUCCCACCAAGCCUUCACACACCAUCAAUCAUUCUCUUUCAUAUGGCUUUGAAUUGGAAAAUUCUUUUCUAUUCCCAUGUCACGGGCUACUCCAGGAGCUUAGCAACUCGAGUGGUUGCCCUGGAAGAGGACUCCACCCUCCCUAACUAAGACCAAUGGGGAGCUGAAGAUAAACAGACUGAAAGAAGGUAUUUUCUGAAGCUUAAUAGAAACUUACAACAGGAUUAACAAUGAAUUGAAAAGGGGGCAGCUACAAAACAGGUCAAUGUCUGAAGGUCAAGCAAAAGGAACAAAGUGAAACAAAUACCAGUAAAAUGAGAGGAAAAAUAUUCUCCUCUUGUUUGGCAAAGCUUGGACUAGAAAUGGCCCCUCUGGCAAAGAUUUCUUGGGACCUAAAGUCAACUAGUGAUGCCCACAGUCUAUGAACAAAGUAUAUUCUGUUCAUAGGCCCAUAGUCAGUGCCUAGCCAGUCCAGCUAGGUAUUUGGUUAUUUGAAGUUUCACAGCCUUUUUGUAUUUAUCAUUUGGAUCCUGACAGCCUUAGAGGAGCUGUUUCCUUCCAGCAGAGAAUUGUUGCAGACAACAUGGACCUCUGGUUGAAGGAGAUGAUGG
rnacentral:lncRNA from 1 species